rnacentral:rRNA from 1 species
UACUCCGGGGAUAACAGGCUGAUACUGCCCAAGAGUCCAUAUCGACGGCAGUGUUUGGCACCUCGAUGUCGGCUCAUCUCAUCCUGGGGCUGAAGCAGGUCCCAAGGGUAUGGCUGUUCGCCAUUUAAAGAGGCACGCGAGCUGGGUUUAGAACGUCGUGAGACAGUUCGGUCCCUAUCUACCGUGGGCGUUGGAAAUUUGAGAGGAUCUGCUCCUAGUACGAGAGGACCAGAGUGGACGAACCUCUGGUGUACCGGUUGUGACGCCAGUCGCAUCGCCGGGUAGCUAUGUUCGGAAGGGAUAACCGCUGAAAGCAUCUAAGCGGGAAGCCUACCUCAAGAUAAGAUUUCCCUAGGACUUUAUGUCCUCUAAAGAG